CGGCCCGUAGCUCAGCGGUCGAGAGCGCCCGGCUGUAGAACGGGCGGUCCCGGGUUCAAAUCCCGGCGGGCCGA
rnacentral:ncRNA from 21 species